rnacentral:lncRNA from 1 species
AGAGCCUUCCUCUCAGCCAUAUCAGCACAAUCAGGCAGGGGAAAGCACCAGAAGGCCCUGCAUUUUCCUUCUUGUCCUCUGGGGCGUGUUUCCCAGCUGCUCAGGGCCUGCUGCUGUUCCCUAAAGAGCCGCCUUCAUGCCUUUUCCUGAAACAUCCGCAUUCCUUCCUCCACCUUCAAAAGAACUGCCCUGUCACAGCACACAGAUUUUGUCAACGAGGCACAAGCUAGAGUCAACUCGAAAGAGAAAAUCACAACUGACAAAAAGGCCUCUAUCAGGAUGAGCCUGGAACACCGAAGCCUGAUGUGAAUGAUACGUCUGUUUGGGGGUUCUAGUUCAAUCAACUAUGAUUACCCAAUUGCUAGCACCCUUCAGUCUCUUCCAACCAGGAAGCCAGCCUCUGAGAAGUCUCCUUGGAAGAUGACGGUCUUGCUUCCUAGCUCAUUCAACAAACCGAAGCCAUCCCCAGCCUCCGCCACCACACCCUCCAGCCUGCCUUCCCACUUUCCACUGAGAAUGAACUGUCACGUCCCAGCCAACACCGUCCCCACUCAUCCAUCCGUGCACAGCUGGCUCCCGCAGUCCUCUCCUUCCCCUGCAUAGCCAAUUAUCCCCUCAGCUCUGCUGCACUCUGCUGCAAAUGAA